CUCGGCCCAGGAAACUCAGUAGCUGAGCUCCACACAGAAUCAUCAGAUAUGUGCUUGGAAACCAUCACAUCAUUGUUUCCUGGAUAAAG
rnacentral:snoRNA from 1 species